rnacentral:misc_RNA from 1 species
CUUGGAUUUUGAAUGAUGUCCCUCCAUUCCAUACAUUCUUUUUCAUUAUUUUCUUUAAAAGAAAAAUUAUAUAUAAUAUAACCCUAUAUUGUUAUGCCAUUUGAAGAGAAGACCCAUCACGUGAAUUUCUGAUUAAUAAAUCACAAAAACUCUCUCUUUUUACGCCAAUCUGAAAUCUCUCUCGCACAGAGUCUCCUAAUAUUUCUACCCCAUCAAGAGAGAGACUGACGUCGCCACCUGCUCUUGUCUGUAUACUCUUUGUUUCAACCGAUUCCUUUGUGGGAGGAAAUGGGAAACUGUGAGAAAAUGGUUGUCAUCUCUCCAACUACUAACGAGUGGCCAAAGAAUCAGAUAGAUGAGAAAGCCUUGAUGCCAUCGAUAAGUAAACUAAUGGAGAAACGGGGCCAAGAACUAUCACAACAACAACACCAACACCAGCAGCCACAGCAAGCUUUUAAGUGUCCUCGCUGCGACUCCUCUAACACCAAGUUCUGUUACUACAAUA